UUCCACUCUGUACGCUUGCCUAUCCGUCAUUCUCAGCGGGGAGCAGUAGAGUGGGACUCCUUGGAGUAUUCUAGAGCGGCAGGAGCAGGCCGAGGCCGAUGAUGUCGGAAAAGAAGCAACCCGUGGAUCUGGGACUUCUGGAAGAAGACGACGAGUUCGAGGAGUUUCCUGCCGAAGACUGGGCUGGUUUAGAUGAAGAUGAAGAUGCACAUGUGUGGGAAGAUAAUUGGGAUGAUGAUAAUGUGGAAGAUGAUUUCUCUAACCAGUUAAGAGCGGAACUGGAAAAGCAUUGCUACAAGAUGGAAACAACAUAGCGUCUAGUGGUGUUUCAUUUGUGUAAAUUGAUAUGUGCGAUGGAAGGGGUACAACUAUACGAAUUGUUUUCUGUUUUCUAUAAAUAAAAGUUGAGAUUAUGUUAUAUAU